AAGAAGACAGAAAUAGUUUGCUUUAACCAGAUCGCACUUAUAGAAAAGUUCAUACUCUAUCUCUCUCUUUCUCUCUCUCUCUCUCACCCAACGCAAGUACGCAACUAUGGCCAAGAAAGGCUCUUCAGAUCUCAGAAGCUGCAUGCACCAACAUUCAAUACCAGCAAGAGUUUUGGCAUCAACCAUGGCCUCUAGGGCAGAAAAGGCUUCAACCAUGAGAUCGAUCUCGGCAGAUGCACGCCAGGCAGAGGUUGAGUUGUUUCUUUCCAGAAACCAUGGCCUAGGAGAAACUAUGGCCUAGGGCUUAGGGAGGCCCUUCAAGUCCUCAGAAGAUUCAAGGAUGGGGCUCAACCAAGUCUUCAGAUUCAAGGUCAGCCCGGAAACAAGAGUUGAAGGAAGAGGUGGUCUCUGGCCAAAGGGCAAAAAAAAAAAAAAAAAAAAAAAAAGAAAGAAAGAAAGAAGAAGAAGACUAGAAGAGGGUGUUCUGACUGGGCCGAAUGGAGAACCCAGUUUGGGCUUUCCUUGUACUACCGAUCUGCACUCAGGCAGGCCCAAUUCGAAUUUUAAUUCGAAGUCCAAAACAAUUGUAUUAUGACUUGGCAUUAUGGAGAUUUCAGUCGUUUUAUAGGGUUGGGGCACCAAAGUUGAGGUUGAGCUCCGAAUUCUAAUAGGAGGCCAUCAAGCCAACCCUUGCAGCCAUUGCUCUGUGUCUUCUUCUCUGCUAUCAUCAGGAUGGCGAUGGCAUCUUUGGAGAGACUACGAUUCUUUGCAGUAGCUUUUAGAAACUUUGAGAAUGCAAGUCGGGAUGUUUACGAUAAUCCUCGCAUUAGAACAUGUUUUAACUUGCACCAAUUGCGUCACUUACAUCUGCAUAUGAGGGAGAUGAGAGGAUAGAGGAAUAUAACAGGCUUGCAGGUCAAGUACAAGCAACUGCAAAUAAUUUGGACUAUCAAGAUGUGAUCAUGUUGGAGAGGUGUGGAUUUUGAGAUGUUUUUGGAAUUUAGGAAGGGGCCUUGGGAUUGGAAUGGUGAGGUUCGUAUGGUUCCUGGAGUUACCCCGGAGAAUAGGAUUUUUAUCGAGCAACGUGCUGCAGUUCAUUUUAUUCCAUUGGGUGCUGAUGAAUGAUGAUUUACCUUUCAUCUUGGGGCACGUCUGAGCAUAGGAGUACUCAAAACUUGCGCAACCAAAUUUGUAUCUCAUGCUUUUUGUUGUCUUGAAGUUGUUCUAUGUCAGACGGGUAGUUACAUUGUUAAAAUGUGAUUGUUUUUCUGAACG